UACGUAGGGCGCAAGCGUUGUCCGGAAUUAUUGGGCGUAAAGAGCUCGUAGGCGGUCUGUCGCGUCCGUUGUGAAAACUCGAGGCUCAACCUCGGGCUUGCAGUGGAUACGGGCAGACUAGAGUGCGGUAGGGGAGACUGGAAUUCCUGGUGUAGCGGUGGAAUGCGCAGAUAUCAGGAGGAACACCGAUGGCGAAGGCAGGUCUCUGGGCCACUACUGACGCUGAGAAGCGAAAGCAUGGGGAGCGAACAGG
rnacentral:rRNA from 1 species